CACUCUUCAAGACUGUUGCAGGCUUUCUCACAUCCAUGGCUUCCUCCUCUACGUACAACUCCAACACUAGAUCGAAGAAACCCAAGUCAAAAUCAAAACUUGAUUUUGCAAAUCCCUGUGAUUCUGGCUACCCUUCUCUUAUCUGGACUUCAACGACCAAAGAUAAUCCUAGAAAAGAGUUUAGGGUUUGCCCUAAUUCAACGGAUAACCCAUAAAUUAAAUGCAAAUUCUGGGAAUGGGUUAAUGAAGAAGAUACAGUCAACAAGAAGAAAAGAGAUGAAGUGGGAGCACAAUCCUGUGAAGUGAGGGCACAAUCUUGUGAAGUGAGGAUUGCAAUUAUGGACCAUGAUUUCAAUAUUUACAAAAAGAAGACAGAUGAAGAAUUUGAUAAGAUAAUUAGGAAAAUUAGCAGUCUCAAAACAUAUGUAAUUGUGUUGUUUAUGUUGUUUGUAGUAUCACUUUUAAGGGCAUAAAUGUCAAAUUGUAAUUGGUUAUUAUGCUUGUUUUGCUGAAUAUGAUUGAAUGAACAUGUUUUGUUGUUGCUAAA